AAUCAGUGUGGAAAGAGUUUCACACAAAAUAGUCAACUUAAAGUUCACAUGAGAAUUCACACUGGAGAGAAGCCUUUCACCUGCCCUCAGUGUGGAAAGAGUUUCACGAAUAAAACAAACCUAAAGACUCACAUUAGAAUUCACACUGGAGAGAAUCCAUUCACAUGUGAUCAGUGUGGAAAGAGUUUCAGAUAUAAUGCAAACCUUAUUAGUCACAUGAAGAUUCACUCAGAGAACGGAUUUAAAUGUCAUCAGUGCGAAAGGAGUUUCACAGACACGAAUCACCUUCAGGAUCAUGUUAAAAUUCACAUCUGAGAAAAGCCUCUCAUGUGCCAUCACUGUGGAAAGAGUUU